UACGGGGGGUGCAAGCGUUAUCCGGAUUCACUGGGUUUAAAGGGUGCGUAGGUGGGCAGGUAAGUCCGUGGUGAAAUCUCUGAGCUUAACUCAGAAACUGCCGUGGAUACUAUUUGUCUUGAAUAUUGUGGAGGUGAGCGGAAUAUGUCAUGUAGCGGUGAAAUGCUUAGAUAUGUCAUAGAACACCGAUUGCGAAGGCAGCUGACGAAACUAUAACUGACACUGAGGCUCGAAAGUGCGGGGAUCAAACAGG
rnacentral:rRNA from 1 species